GACAGAGGAUGCAAGCGUUAUCCGGAAUGAUUGAGCGUAAAGCGUCUGUAGGUGGUUUGACAAGUCUCCUGUCAAAGAUCAGGCUUAACCCUGGGCCGGCAGGAGAAACUAUUAGGCUAGAGUUCGGUAGGGGCAGAGGGAAUUCCCGGUGGAGCGGUGAAAUGCGUAGAGAUCGGAAAGAACACCAACGGCGAAAGCACUCUGCUGGGCCGACACUGACACUGGAGAGACGAAAGCUAGGGGAGCGAAUGGG
rnacentral:rRNA from 1 species